CUCUGCUCCCAGCGAGGGACGCUGGCCUUCUCGCGGCUUUCCCCCGAUAUCUCUCUUUAUUCCAGCUGCCUGAAACUCGGUCCCACGAAUGGCAGGCAGCGUCCAAAAUUCAACCCCGUAAAGCCAGCACCAGCCAAUAAAGCGCACGGAUGGAGGCCACGUGACAGCAGUGGGCCGGCCCUCCGGCUGAGCCCUGAUCUCUAUGGUUUCCGCGGCUCGCUAGAAGGAGUGUGGUCCACCGGAGGACUCCCUACAUUCUUCCUCCAUUACCUCACUGCCUCCGGUGGCUGCUGGGAUACCGGAGGACUCGGGUCCCGGCUCGACUCAGUCCUCCAGCCGCCCGGGGAAUACCUCUAGUUCUUCCCGGCCGCCGCCGCCGCCGCCGCCCCGCCGCUUCCUCCUCCGCCUGCCGGCCUCCUUCGCCCCGUCCCGUCCGCGCAGCGCGUCCGGCCCGCCCGCAGGCCAGCUUCUCUCGGGAGCCCCCACCCAGGCGCAUGGCUCCAUGAAGCAAGAGGAGGAGGCAGAGCGCGAGAGGUCCCGUCCGCCCCAGCCGCGUCUGGGCCAGGAUAAAAGCAAAACCAUAUUCCUGCUGCUGUCAGUUAUGAUGCACUGAGAAAACUUCAGAGACCUAAACUUUUUCCAGAGAAGAGAAGCUUUACUGGUGUUCCAGCCCUAAGAAACCUUUGUUCAAGAAAACGGCAGAUGCUCUGUUGAAUCCACUGGAGAUUGUUCUGAUACUAAGGACAAGUAUCAACCAUCUUUCCUGUGAAAAAUUCCCUCUCGUACUUUAGUUCUGUGGAUCCAAAAUUUAUAGCAUUCUUCUACCACCACAGGGGCUCAUAUGACAUUAACAGACAAGACACUUUUCAGAAAGACAGGCAACGUGUUGGACCUUCCGGAGCUUCUCAGAAGACAGAGGGUUUUCUUUUGAGGAUUUAAACCUCAGACACAGGGAGCUGACCUAUUCACCUUAGAAUCCUCUGGGGCACCCAUUACAGUGUCUGUACCAAGGAGGCAACAAAGAACGGCGGAACAGACUGGAGCAGAAGGACCACCCAGCAGAGCCAAGCCAAAUCACUGACCCUCAGAGGCCUGAUGUGAAUGCUUAUGGCUUCAGUCCAUUGGAUUCUGCAGUAAUCUGCCGAUCUACAGUAUUACCACAGUAAAUAACCGAUAGACCUGAAAACGAAUGCAUGCCUUGUGCCAAAAUUGCAGGAAACCUCACCAGGAGAAACAAUUUUAUAUGAGGGAAUGUACUCUCUCCUUUGCAUUUUCCCUCAAAUCUAUAUUUUUAGCCCCUCACUUGUCUCUACAGAGCCUCAGUUGCUUAAUCUAAUUGCUGACUGAACAUCUCCAGGAAACUGUGUUGAGCACAACAUUUUACCCACGUGCCUGAUGGACAGGCCAAGCUGAAUGGAAGCCUUCUGAGGCACUGGAGCAGAAGGGAAAACUUGCACAUGGUCGCAAAGGACUUCACACUGUUCCAUCCCCUCUACUGCCAUCCAAGAGGCCUCUUGACUCUUCCAGAAUCAGAUGUAAAAGACAAGGGCAGUGGCACUGCUCGUCGUUGCUGGGGAUACAUUCGCAGUGCCACACCUCCUCCACCUUCUCCACGGGGUAGACGGCUUCCACCUAGUGGCAGAUGAGCCGCAGCUGCGUAGGGUCCAGCUGCUUCUUGUUGCAAGCCCG
rnacentral:lncRNA from 10 species